rnacentral:lncRNA from 1 species
CUCAAAGCUGCGAUAUGACAUGGGGAGCUCAGCAGGAGAUCACCAGCACUCCUGUCCUUGAAACCACUAAGGCUUAGAGAGCUGAGACCCUCUCACAGAGCCUGAGACUCCCCUUGAGACAAGAGAUGGGAGAAGAAAGCCUGACAGAGAACAACUGCAGAGAAGAAGUCAAAGUAGCCAGCUGGACAAAAAUAGAAAGUUAAUGAGAGUACACAAUUAUUUUGAGAGAUGAAGAAAUUCCAAGUGAAAGAGGGAAAGAGAGAGGACUUAAAUCCAUCACCAAGUUUUAGCUCCCUGGAUGAGAAACUGAAAGCUGGAAAUCUCUGCGGAACAUCAGCUGAGCUCUGUCAUCCCAGGGAAAUGCCUCUCAGUCUCCAUUGCCAGCAGCUGUCUUGUAACUAGGCCUGUCUUCCAGCUGCUUCCCUAAGCCACAUAUCAUUUGAUUGUUCUAGGUGCAGAUGUUGGAGUCCCUGGACCCAAGAACUCAAAUCAUCAUAACAGGAUCCAGAAUUCCAAGCUGGGUAUUGCUGCCAAUGAAUGGGAAACAUUUAACAACUGGAUCCCCAUAAAAGGGGGGAAGUAUAUAUAGCACACUUAAAUUCAAUCCUUAUUAUUAAUAUUUUCCCCAACAAAUUCCUAAGCCUAGGAAAUUAACCAAACAAUAAAUCAAACCCUAAUUUGUAGCA